rnacentral:rRNA from 1 species
CAAUAGCGUAUAUUAAAGUUGUUGCAGUUAAAAAGCUCGUAGUUGGAUUUCUGGUGGGAGCGAUCGGUCUGGCGCUUAGCGCGAGUACUUGCAUCGUCUCCGGCCAUCCUUGGGGAGAGUCUGUCUGGCAUUAGGUUGUCGGGCAGAGGAUCCUCAUCGUUUACUGUGAAAAAAUUAAAGUGUUCAAAGCAGGCUUAUGCCGUUGAAUAUAUUAGCAUGGAAUAAUAAGAUAGGACUUUGGUACUAUUUUGUUGGUUUGCGCACCAAAGUAAUGAUUAAUAGGGACAGUUGGGGGUAUUCGUAUUCCGUUGUCAGAGGUGAAAUUCUUGGAUUUACGGAAGACGAACUACUGCGAAAGCAUUUACCAAGGAUGUUUUCAUUAA